CCCCUGGCAAUCGCUCUGGCGGCAUCAAACCAACAAAACCCUAACGCUAAUCUAAUCUAUUUAUCCGCCUACCUACCUAUUUAUCUGGCAUGAGCCAACAACACAAAAAAAAAUCCAAAAAUCCUGCGCCGCACCAAAUCCAAAACCCCAGCAGAUCAAACAACCCUCGCACGGCCGCCCACAGAAGAAACCGCACGGAACCCACAGUACCAAAUCCAAGGCUUUCCAAGAGCUAAA
rnacentral:misc_RNA from 1 species